rnacentral:misc_RNA from 1 species
UUGAUUUUUAAAGCAAACCGAGCUUUUUUUUAAAAGUAAGGUUUUGCGAAUAUAUUUAAAACCCCACUCUUUUAAAUAAAAUUUUUCAUUCAUAUAUUAUGAAAAUUAAAAGA